rnacentral:rRNA from 1 species
UACAGAGGGUGCAAGCGUUAAUCGGAAUUACUGGGCGUAAAGCGUGCGUAGUCGGUUAUUUAAGUCGGGUGUGAAAGCCCCGGGCUCAACCUGGGAAUUGCAUUCGAUACUGGAUAGCUAGAGUUCGGCAGAGGGAAGCGGAAUUUCCGGUGUAGCGGUGAAAUGCGUAGAUAUCGGAAGGAACAUCAGUGGCGAAGGCGGAUCUCUGGGCCGAUACUGACGCUGAGGAGCGAAAGCGUGGGGAGCGAACAGG